GAUGAACGCUGGCGGCGUGCCUAAUACAUGCAAGUCGAGCGAACAGAUGAGGAGCUUGCUCCUCUGACGUUAGCGGCGGACGGGUGAGUAACACGUGGAUAACCUACCUAUAAGACUGGGAUAACUUCGGGAAACCGGAGCUAAUACCGGAUAAUAUAUCGAACCGCAUGGUUCAAUAGUGAAAGACGGUUUUGCUGUCACUUAUAGAUGGAUCCGCGCCGCAUUAGCUAGUUGGUAAGGUAACGGCUUACCAAGGCAACGAUGCGUAGCCGACCUGAGAGGGUGAUCGGCCACACUGGAACUGAGACACGGUCCAGACUCCUACGGGAGGCAGCAGUAGGGAAUCUUCCGCAAUGGGCGAAAGCCUGACGGAGCAACGCCGCGUGAGUGAUGAAGGUCUUCGGAUCGUAAAACUCUGUUAUUGGGGAAGAACAAAUGUGUAAGUAACUAUGCACGUCUUGACGGUACCUAAUCAGAAAGCCACGGCUAACUACGUG
rnacentral:rRNA from 1 species